UACAGUUUAUGCUAUUUAAAAUUCUCAUAUCCUGAAUAAGAAAAUAAUUUAAUGUGUCUGUAGUUGAGCUGCUUACUUGACACUAAUUGCAGAGUUACUUAGUUUCUGUAACUACCGAUGUCUCAUUCUCAUUUGUUUAAAUCCUAAAUAAUUAAAAUGUGUUCACAGGUUUAGUUGCAAAGGUUGACAUCUUACAACCUAAACAGACCAAGGACGGGGUCCUGCUGCAGUGUCUGGUUUCAGAUGCGUCUCCUGAUUUUCAACUGAAAAUCUCCUGGUUCGACAGCUCUGGAAACAAACUCAAUUCACAAUUAGAGAAAAAAAAAAAUGGAGAACUCCACAUCCUCCAAACUACUGUGACCAAGAGUGAUACUUAUCGCUGUGAUGCAACAAUGGAGGAACUUAGUCAUCAGAUUGAUGAUAAUGUCACUGUCACAGAUAAAGACUUAAUCAACACAUCAGGGUCAAACAUCCCAUUGAUCAUUGGAUUGGUUGUCGCAGGUGUGGCUCUUAUAAUUGUGGCUGUAUUUAUAUAUAAACGCUGUUAGAAAAACAGGUCAGGGGAGAUGUACAAAAUGUAACUUCCAGACAUCUUGUUGGGACAUUGAAUCCAGACCGGGAUGUGACACAGAACCUCAUCUGGACUUUGUUUUAGUGUCCACAUGCCUCAACCUAACAUGAUGUUACAGUGAUUUUAUUUCACAUUGUCUUAGUUCACCCUGUGUUUACCUGAACAGGUGUUCGGUUUUGUUUUUUCUGUUUUCAGUCCAUGUUGAUGUAAAUGUCUGACGUCACUAUAAACAGACAUUGAUGAUUCUGCAGGAACCUGAUGGUAAAACCUUCCAGCUUCACGUAAACACAGGCUGCAGAACCAUUGGUGAAUAUGAUUAUUUACAUUAUUGUGCAGCUUUGAAGUCAAAUGUAACUUGAGUUGCUGUUAAAAGCAUUUAAAGGAUUUUACCAACAUAUUUCUGCUUCAAUUCCAAAUAUUUCACCUGAUGAAAUAUAUAAUUAAAUAUGUAUUUUAUGUGAAGAAGCAGCUGAGGUUUAACUAUAAACAAGUGAGCGACCCUGAGACCUGAACAGAGGAACCAGCUGGAGGAAACAGUCGUUCCUCGUUUAAAGUGAUCAGAGGCUUAAUUGAUUCAUUGGCUUAAAGUUGAUGUUUAUAAUGUGAAUAUUUAGCAGCUACAUUCAACAAAAUGUGACUUUUGUUUAAUGGUUCCUUCUUUUCUGUAUAAAGUGUUGGUCCAAAGUCUGAACAUGUUCAUGUGGUUAACAGUACAGUUACAGUUAGCAUUUAGUCGUUUUUAUUUUUUUAACUUCAGCUUUUUCAGAGUUUGUCAUGUUAAUUCAUUUUCAUGAUGUAACAUUUCUAUAAUUUAUCUAUUUAGUGUCAGAUACAAUUUUUAUGCUACAAUAUAUGUUUGAUUUAGUUCAGAUACUGUUUAUAACUGUUAUAAUGUUAGUUCAGAUUCAGGUUUUACUUGAGAUCAGAUUGUUUCGUAGAGAAAUUAAAAUAGUUUCUGUUUGUCUCAUAACAAAUAUUUGUCAUAAUUAAAUAAUCUUUACUGUGCAAACAUUUAAUUAAAUAAUAUACUCAAA